GGAUAACCUACCCUUAGGACCGGGAUAACCCUGGGAAACUGGGGAUAAUACUGGAUAGGCAAUUUUUCCUGUAAUGGUUUUUUGUUUAAAUGUUUUUUCGCCUAAGGAUGGGUCUGCGGCCGAUUAGGUAGUUGGUUAGGUAAUGGCUUACCAAGCCGUUGAUCGGUACGGGUUGUGAGAGCAAGAGCCCGGAGAUGGAACCUGAGACAAGGUUCCAGGCCCUACGGGGUGCAGCAGGCGCGAAACCUCCGCAAUGUGAGAAAUCGCGACGGGGGGAUCCCAAGUGCCAUUCUUAACGGGAUGGCUUUUCAUUAGUGUAAAGAGCUUUUGGAAUAAGGGCUGGGCAAGACCGGUGCCAGCCGCCGCGGUAACACCGGCAGCUCUAGUGGUAGCAGUUUUUAUUGGGCCUAAAGCGUCCGUAGCCGGUUUAAUAAGUCUCUGGUGAAAUCCUGUAGCUUAACUGUGGGAAUUGCUGGUGAUACUGUUGAACUUGAGGUCGGGAGAGGUUAGAGGUACUCCCAGGGUAGAGGUGAAAUUCUGUAAUCCUGGGAGGACCGCCUGUUGCGAAGGCGUCUAACUGGAACGGUUCUGACGGUGAGGGACGAAAG
rnacentral:rRNA from 1 species